UGGUGAAUAUUGGACAAUGGGCGAAAGCCUGAUCCAGCCAUGCCGCGUGUGUGAAGAAGGUCUUCGGAUUGUAAAGCACUUUAAGUUGGGAGGAAGGGCAGUAAGCGAAUACCUUGCUGUUUUGACGCUACCGACAGAAUAAGCACCGGCUAACUCUGUGCCAGCAGCCGCGGUAAUACAGAGGGUGCAAGCGUUAAUCGGAAUUACUGGGCGUAAAGCGCGCGUAGGUGGUUCGUUAAGUUGAAUGUGAAAGCCCCGGGCUCAACCUGGGAACUGCAUCCAAAACUGGCGAGCUAGAGUAGGGCAGAGGGUGGUGGAAUUUCCUGUGUAGCGGUGAAAUGCGUAGAUAUAGGAAGGAACACCAGUGGCGAAGGCGACCACCUGGGCUCAUACUGACACUGAGGUGCGAAAGCGUGGGGAGCAAACAGG
rnacentral:rRNA from 1 species